UACUUGGAAGGUAAGAGAAGUGACCAUUUGGCUAUCCAUCUCCAGCAUCUCUCUACUCUUCCCGAUAUUGUCCAACUCUCAGAUGAUCAUAGAUAUGAGCCCGUUGAAGAACCUGUGGAGCGUGGCUACUUUGAACCUGUCAAUUGGAGCAUAUUUUCUCAUGUGUGCACUGCCCCAGUGCAGUACAAUGGAGCCCACAUUGAUGACUCUGCUUCAAUUGUGACAAAAGCCUGGUUUGAGGUUAAGAUGAUUGGGAUGAAGAAAGUUCUGUUCCUGAGGCUUGGAUUCUCAAUGGUGGCGUCAGCAAGGAUCCG
rnacentral:misc_RNA from 1 species